AGCGAACGCUGGCGGCAGGCCUAACACAUGCAAGUCGAACGAACUCUUCGGAGUUAGUGGCGGACGGGUGCGUAACACGUGGGAACGUGCCUUUUGGUUCGGAAUAACUCAGGGAAACUUGUGCUAAUACCGAAUGUGCCCUUCGGGGGAAAGAUUUAUCGCCAUUAGAGCGGCCCGCGUCUGAUUAGCUAGUUGGUGAGGUAACGGCUCACCAAGGCGACGAUCAGUAGCUGGUCUGAGAGGAUGACCAGCCACACUGGGACUGAGACACGGCCCAGACUCCUACGGGAGGCAGCAGUGGGGAAUAUUGCGCAAUGGGCGAAAGCCUGACGCAGCCAUGCCGCGUGAAUGAUGAAGGUCUUAGGAUUGUAAAAUUCUUUCACCGGGGACGAUAAUGACGGUACCCGGAGAAGAAGCCCCGGCUAACUUCGUG
rnacentral:rRNA from 1 species